GCUUGCUUUCUUUGCCGGCGACCGGCGCACGGGUGAGUAACACGUAUCCAACCUGCCCUUUACUCGGGGAUAGCCUUUCGAAAGAAAGAUUAAUACCCGAUGGCAUAAUGAUUCCGCAUGGUUUCAUUAUUAAAGGAUUCCGGUAAAGGAUGGGGAGUGCGUUCCAUUAGGUUGUUGGUGAGGUAACGGCCCACCAAGCCUUCGAUGGAUAGGGGUUCUGAGAGGAAGGUCCCCCACAUUGGAACUGAGACACGGUCCAAACUCCUACGGGAGGCAGCAUG
rnacentral:rRNA from 1 species